CCGAGGGUGCCAGGGAAUGAACGUGCUUAUUUCUGACUUCUGAGAGGAUAUAAUCCAAAUGACAGAUACCCAAUAGGCCCAAGGUUCAGCGCUUGGAAAGCAGCAAGACUCGAAGCCACCUGCGGUUGGCGAUGGAAAAUGCAGCAUUGCUUCAAGCCUUUACUUCAUGUCUCUACUUUCCUGCUAUGAUGGAUUAUACCUUGGAAUGGAGGACUUCCUUCCUAAGGAAGAGACGGUUUUCCCUGGCGUUGGAAGAGAAAACUCCACAGUGAGUCUUUGCCUGAGCUCCAUGCACCGAGAGAGCUCUGUAAAUCGCUACAGAAAGUUUUGGCUGCUGGAGACCUUGAAACUCACUCCACUGACAAGAUAAUGCCGAGGAUCCCUGGAAACGGCAAACUUCACUUCUGAUGGAGGCAGUUGAAGGCCUUGCUGGUGAACAAUAUUGCCUUUACAUUUUUGAAGACGGAAGCAGAAAUGCUGUAUGCUUUGGUGGGAGACUUCUCAAAAGUCUAUUUCAGUUACCCAAAGUAUUCAUGGAUGAGUACAGACAGCUUUAGACUUGUUCUGAAAUACAAGUCUUCUAAGUUAUCGCGAACAGGACGUCAGCCCAGGCAGCACGUGCCUUAAGAUAACGGCAAACCACGCUGGAUCUAUUCACAAAGGCAAAUUCUGUGUUUGCAACACAGGUUGUUUUGUUUUCCUUAUAAAACCUGUUCUUAGUCCUGCGGGCAAAAGCC
rnacentral:lncRNA from 1 species